rnacentral:lncRNA from 1 species
CAUUGCCACGAAUUGUUCCACCACGAUCCGCUGCACCAUGUCGCCUCCUGGUGACAUCUACAUUACAUUCUGAUCCUUGUGGAAUAAACUCGAAUUGUGAACCCUUCAUGUGUGGCCUCUGCCAAUACAUCGCAGGGUCUCUUCCACCUUCGAUUUUGUUCGCUCCUUUGGCAAUCGACCUUUAUCCACCCACUCUUGGGUCACACCUAGAUGAAGCACCGCUCUAGGACAGUCCGUCGCCUAAUAGCUCCCGAAGUCCACCGACUUCACUGUAAUUUAUGCACCAUUGUCUGGAUCCUGGGCCUCUGCCCCUACCAGCACAAUCUCCGCUGCGCACCACUUCCUUCAUGGCAACUUGAAUGGCAACACUGUGGCAUAUUCUUCAAGAGCGCCUGCCUCUGCAUCCUCUUGCCCCGUGCUAAGGCCUUCUGAACCCAACUUUGCCUCCGC